rnacentral:rRNA from 1 species
GGCGCUUCACACCCACCUAGAGGAGCCUGUCCUAGAACCGACAAUACCCGUUUAACCUCACCUUCUCUUGUUUUUCCCGCCUAUAUACCGCCGUCGUCAGCUCACCCUGUGAGGGUCCCGUAGUAAGCGAAAUUGGCACAGCCCAGAACGUCAGGCCGAGGUGUAGCGUAUGAGAAGGGAAGAGAUGGGCUACAAUUGCAUUUAUAGUUAAUACGAACUGCCGCGCUGAAAUUGCAUACAUGAAGGAGGAUUUAGAAGUAAGGGGAAAGCAGAGUGUUCCCCUGAAGUGGCUCUGAAGCGCGCACACACCGCCCGUCACCCUCCCUGGUUAUUUGAAGACACUAGUAACUAAAAAGCUUUCACUGACAGAGGGGAGGCAAGUCGUAACAUGGUAAGUGUACCGGAAGGUGCACUUGGACUAAC